AUGCUCAUGUGAUACCACCACAUGUUGAAAGAUAAAUAAUACAUCAUCAUGCGUCGUUAUCAUGGAAUCAAAGCAAAAGACUUGAGCUGGUUUGGCGCAUUUUAAGGUGAAUUAGUACUUCAUUUGCUAGCAUACGCUUGUUUAACCAAACCGACCCUUCUUCGCGGGUUCCUCAGCCGCUCGUCCAGCCUCUUCUUAGCUUCUUUGGCUGCUCCGACGAGCUUCUCAUCGUUAUCAUCACUACGUUUCAUUACCGAGAAGGAGACAUAGGCUUGGUCGUGAUUGGUAGUGUAGAGAGAGAACGAUGGUCGCCGAGUCCAGACCUGUCCUGUUGCUGCCGCGACAGAAGCCGUGUUGGAUAAGUCAAUCGGUGGAGCACCGCCGUGGAAACGCCGUCUCCUCGCGCACUCAACUCCGGGAAGCAUACCAGCCAUAGCUUUUCUUCUUGUCUUUUAGUUUGCUUAGACGGGGGGAGAGAGAGAGAGAGAGAGAGAGAGAGAGAGAGAGAGAGAGGAAGCUACAAAUAUUUAUCACAAAUAAUUGAGGACAGCAGUAUGGUAUACAUACUUGAUAAUGAUAUAAAGAUGUGUUAAAUUAGGUAGAUCCAAAACGGUAGUUUUAAAUAUAAAGAACAUUUUUAUAUAACAUCAUAAUUUUCCUUUAAUCAAAAAUAUAUUAUAAGAAA